UACAGCAUAAACCUUGUAUCUCACGAGUCUUCGUGUCCCAUGUUCUGAAACAUCGAUCGUGUAAAAAAUCAGUGUUUCUCUCGCCCUCAGCGAUUUAUAACGAUAAAAGUUGAGUGGUUUCAAGGGGAACCUAACUUAACGUGAUUAAUUUUUGGCAUUACGGCCACGUGUGUCGCUGCCCGUCGCUGCCCGUCGCUGCCCGUCGCUGCCCGUCGCUGCCAGUCGCUGCCAGUCGCUGCAUUCUCCUUUCUCCUUCCUCCUUCCUCCCGUUCCGACGCAUGUUUCUCCGUCUCUGCCUCGUGGAGAUAUCGAUGCCGAAAGCACGAUUUCUUAUUCGCGCUGAUCUGUCUCUAUUUUGUAUACUUGCCGAAUCUCUUGCCCCAACGCGCUUGUUUAGGACCAUGGAAUCUGCCUUUUUGUUACUUUGGCCUGUUAAAGGGGAUUGAUUUGCGGAUUCUUGGUUGAUUCAUGUUUCUUAGACAAAUAUGCAGAUGUCGUCAUAAAAUACUUUCAUUCCGCAAACGUGGCUUUCGACAAAUUUUACGCGGUGCUUACAUUAAUACGAAACUCGCUAUGAUAAAAAACAAAACGUCGUAUCUAGAAUCACGAUAAGAACAACGAAACCUGACGCUGACCUUAAACUUCAGGCGGCGCAGCGAAUGGAACUUGGAAAGAGGAUCAUCGUGAUUAUUUUAUUCUUUGUAUUUUCAUUGAUUCGUUAGAUAAUAUGUCAAGCCAGUCGUAUAAUAUCAAGAGAUUUCAGAAUAAAAUUAUAUGAAAAUUCACGUUUCGCAACAAGAAUAUGUAAUAUUUAUCAACUAUUUCCACAGACACUGUUGUCUUCACAAAACAAUCACUUUUACGUAAAGGAUUAAUUAUCUUUAUCUCAGAUAUUUGAUCUAUAGAUAUACGUAUAAAAGAUAUACAUAUUCGUUCUAAUGACAAACUUUCAAGUACUCGAGCGAUGCACGAUAAGUCUCCGAUAUUUCGUUUCUUUCUACUUGCAGACUUUCACACAUGAUAUAAUUGACACAAACAGCGUUGAAAAUAUAAACUUCAAACGUCAUUCGUCGCUUCUUGCUUUUUCAUAUAAUAACUAAUAACGUAGUUACUAGAAAAUAAAAUAUGUAUAUGGGUGGUGGAUUGUACAAAAGUGCGUAGUAUUAUUCGACAGUGAUAUAGUCCGUACACUUUUUCAUUUAAUUUAUGUAUUAUGUAACAAGCUUUAGAUAUGGAAGACGACAUGCUAAUAUUGCUAUAUACUUUGUAGCUACUGCUAGACAAAUGAAUAGCUAUAUAAUAUAUGUAAUUUUAUCGGUAUUUUUUUAAAAACUAUCUCUACACGGGACUGACAUUUCAAUAAAAGUCACACGUAAUCGACUGUAUUUCAACUGUUUACCUGAAAAAGACAAAUUGUUGCUCACGCCAUUUAUCAGAAAGAAUUGGUUAAAAGACAAUUAGUUCUCUCAAGAAUUAUUUACAAAAUUUGAACAUCCAACAGCAUACAUCAAUAUUAAUUUGUAGUUAUUGAGAUUAUAAACGAACUGACUACCAUUUUUCGUAAUUGUCAGUUAAACUUAAGCGUGAAAACAAAAAUAAUUAAAUUUUAAAGAAAAGUAACAUUUAUUAAUCGUAAACGAACUAGCUAUGAAUGCUAAAUGCUGAAAAAUACUAAAUAAAAUAUAAAAUCAACUAUGAUUCCUGACAACUGUCGGCUAAACAUGAGAACAAAGAUCAUUGCGUGUUUGAAACUAACGAAUAUUUAUUCCUUGUAUAAACAAACUAGUGAUCAACCUCAAGUUCUUUAUUGUAAACUUUUUUGUUGCAAAAAUGUUCAAGCGAAUUAUUAUUCAAUUCUGAAGGGGAGAGCCCAAUGCCAACGUUAUAUUUACGUUACAUCAAAUAAAAUUUAAUAAAAGUAACAGAAUUGGGAUAGAAUACGAACCAGGGGACUAAAUAUCAGACUUCCUGCGACAGAUGAUUGUCAACGAAUCCACAAUUUUAGCUAACCAAAAAUGGCCACCUGUAAUAGUAAUAAAAAAGAGAGGGAUAUAAAGAUAGGGUACAUGGGUCAUAUGUUACCGUGUAAGUGAAAGCGACAUGGGGGACCCUUCUGUCCUUGUCUAAUCAGCCAUGCAUACUGACGCCGCUCGUUGAUCGGCGUUACAAUUCCAUAUUUACUGUACGGAUGUGCAUGCGUUAUUAGACAAGGAUAGAAGGGGCCUCUAUUCGCUAACGUUCGCUUUCGAUUCUUAUAUCGCUUUUUCAGCUCGCUCACGCACUCUAUCGUUAGAUCUCUGUAAUUGCAAAACGUAAGAGGUGCAUUAACUUCGCUUGAUUAUUUUUUACUUAAUUCGCGUGAUUUCUUUUUUAAUAGCAUAGAUAUCGUUGUUUUUUUUUCUUUUUUUGGAAAUAAUUUCACGGACAGGGGACUGAAAUGUAAAAGUGGUGACAAAGAUUGUAAAUGUUCUUCGUCGAUAGAAUGAAGUUGAUUAAAGUAAAAAUAAAUGUGAAUGAUAAAUAUGACUAUUGUAUAAUAUAUUUUUUUAGUUUUUUUUUUAUCUGAAUUUAAUAGAUUUUAAUACGUAGAAUCCAAAAAUGCAAUUGUUCAGUUUAGGAAUCUAGCGGUUCAAGGAUUAUGCGUGUGUAAAACUGAGCAUUUUUAUCGUAUUUUACAGGUUAGUAUGACGCCAUAUUGCUUCUAUUCGUAAUUCGACUGAUCCGCACAGAUGAGCAUUGAACUACUAUCUUCGCUGAAUAUUCAUUUAUACAAGCGUAACCGACAACCUUUAGCCAAAACUAAUUCAGUACUCAUGAUUCAAAAUCCCGUCGUAAAAUGGCCGACAUCCACGUGCAUUCGUUAGAGCCAGUGACUCUACUCAUUGAACGAAUCGUGAAUAAAAACCAACAGGGUGUCAAAGUUGAAGCUGUCAACGCUGAAAUCGCUUAACUUUACAUACUUGUCAUUUUUGAACUACGGGAUUCCUAAAGUUUUAAAACUUACAUUUUUCGAUUCUACGCAUAGAAAACCAUUAAAUAGAAAUUAGGAAAGGUCACAAUUUUGUGUCCGUUAAACCGAAGUUCAGCCUAUACGUAAAAAGGAAAAAUUAGCGAAUACUUUCAAAUUUACGCACUGAACAUGAGAAUGGUAGAUUAAAUUUUGUAGUUGUAACAUGCCAGGACACUGAGAAUUUCAUGUAAAAAUGGUAAUUUUUGGAUAUAGAUAAAUUAAAUUGAUAAUUCUUCAUAAUUUGUCCAUGAAGUUACAGUGUUAUUAUCUAGCUCUGAUAUGUAAAUAUAAUACGAUUUAAUGUUUUUAAAGUGUUAAAAAGUGAGAGAUUGGAAGAGAGAGAAAGAAAUGCCCACUUCUGUGGAAUCUCCAUAUACGUAUGUGUAUAAAACAAUAAUAA